rnacentral:rRNA from 1 species
AGUGAACGCUGGCGGUAGGCCUAACACAUGCAAGUCGAACGGCAGCACAGUAAGAGCUUGCUCUUACGGGUGGCGAGUGGCGGACGGGUGAGGAAUACAUCGGAAUCUACUUUUUCGUGGGGGAUAACGUAGGGAAACUUACGCUAAUACCGCAUACGACCUACGGGUGAAAGCAGGGGAUCUUCGGACCUUGCGCGAUUGAAUGAGCCGAUGUCGGAUUAGCUAGUUGGCGGGGUAAAGGCCCACCAAGGCGACGAUCCGUAGCUGGUCUGAGAGGAUGAUUCGCCAAACUGGAACGUGGGACACGGCCCGACCCCUAAGGGAAGGAGCAGUUGGGAAUUUUGGGCAAUUGGGGGCAGGCUUGAUCAACCCUACCGGGUGGGUUGAAGAAGGCUUUCGGGUGUAAAGCCCUUUUUUUGGGAAAAAAAAGCCGGCGGUUAAAACCCCGCUGUUUUGACGGUAACCAAAAAAUAAGCACCGGCUAACUUCGUG